rnacentral:rRNA from 1 species
GGAAUCUUCCACAAUGGGCGAAAGCCUGAUGGAGCAACGCCGCGUGUGUGAUGAAGGGUUUCGGCUCGUAAAACNCUGUUGUAAGAGAAGAAUGACAUUGAGAGUAACUGUUCAAUGUGUGACGGUAUCUUACCAGAAAGGAACGGCUAAAUACGUGCCAG